GACGAACGCUGGCGGCGUGCUUAACACAUGCAAGUCGAACGAUGAAGCCGGAGCUUGCUCUGGUGAAUUAGUGGCGAACGGGUGAGUAACACGUGAGUAACCUGCCCUUGACUCUGGGAUAACUGCGGGAAACUGUAGCUAAUACCGGAUACGACCCUCGGAGGCAUCUCCUGGGGGUGGAAAGAAUUUCGGUCAAGGAUGGACUCGCGGCCUAUCAGCUAGUUGGUGAGGUAAAGGCUCACCAAGGCGACGACGGGUAGCCGGCCUGAGAGGGUGACCGGCCACACUGGGACUGAGACACGGCCCAGACUUCUACGGGAGGCAGCAGUGGGGAAUACUGCACAAUGGGCGCAAGCCUGAUGCAGCAACGCCGCGUGAGGGAUGAAGGCCUUCGGGUUGUAAACCUCUUUUAGCAGGGAAGAAGCGAAAGUGACGGUACCUGCAGAAAAAGCACCGGCUAACUACGUGCCAGCAGCCGCCGUAA
rnacentral:rRNA from 1 species